AUACGUAGGGGGCAAGCGUUAUCCGGAUUUACUGGGUGUAAAGGGAGCGUAGACGGAAGGCCAAGUCUGAUGUGAAAGCCCGCGGCUCAACUGCGGGACUGCAUUGGAAACUGGUCAUCUGGAGUGCAGGAGGGGUAAGCGGAAUUCCUAGUGUAGCGGUGAAAUGCGUAGAUAUUAGGAGGAACACCGGUGGCGAAGGCGGCUCUCUGGGCAGUUACUGGCGAUGAGGGGCGUAAGCGUGGGUAGCAAACGGGAUUGAGUACCCUGGGAGUCCACGCCGUGAACGGUGGGCGCUAGGUGUAAGGGUUUUCCACGCCCUCUGUGCCGCAGCAAACGCAUUAAGUGCCCCGCCUGGGAAGUACGGUCGCAAGGCUAAAACUCAAAGGAAUUGACGGGG
rnacentral:rRNA from 1 species